UCCACCCGGGUCUGUGGUUGCGGGCGCAAGCCCUAGUCCAUGGUAGGCGCGGCCGAAUGGACCCACGUAAGCACGCCGGCGAAAGCCGAUGUGUGAGCAUGGCGCGCCUUAGGGGUAAGUCGUACCGUCCGUUCAGGGUCGCAUCCCGCGAUCCCGGGCGAGAGGGCCGGUAGUGAGAUGACAUCAAGCGGAAGCCCCCGUACGCGAGUGUGGGGCCAAAGACCAGGUCAGCCGGGUGGA
rnacentral:ncRNA from 1 species